CUGUCCGACGUCGACUGUUACUGUCAUGGAGGAUUCGCCCAUAACAUUUCUGCAGUAUUGGCUUCAGGAAUA